rnacentral:rRNA from 13 species
UAACUGAGUUGAACCUCUGGGCAGAAUGCUUGUUCCAAGUGGGCCAUUUUUGGUAAGCAGAACUGGCGAUGAGGGAUGAACCUAACGCUUAGAUAAGGUUCCUAAGUAUGCAUUCAUGAGAUCCCACAAAAGGUGUUGGUUCAUUAACACAGCAGGACAGUGGCCCUGGAAGUCGGAAUCUGCUAAGUAGUGUGUAACAACUAACCUGCCGAAUGAACUAGCCCUGAAAAUUUACGGAGCUGAAGUGCAUCACCGAUACU